rnacentral:rRNA from 1 species
UACGAAGGGUGCAAGCGUUACUCGGAAUUACUGGGCGUAAAGAGCUCGUAGGCGGUUUGUUGCGUCGGCUGUGAAAUCCCGAGGCUCAACCUCGGGUCUGCAGUCGAUACGAGCAAACUAGAGUGUUGCAGGGGAGACUGGAAUUCCUGGUGUAGCGGUGGAAUGCGCAGAUAUCAGGAGGAACACGGGUGGCGAAGGCGGUUCUCUGGGCAUUACCUGACGCUGAGGAGCGAAAGCAUGGGGAGCGAACAGG